CUGUUAAUGUUUUAUUUCGUAACUCGAAUUUGCAUCAUUUGAUCAUUAUUAUUUACUUCAUUGUUUUAUUGAAAAUGUACGAUUUAUGUGUAUAUUCUGACUCAGACAUCUCUAAAAACUUCUUGUCGAUUUUUCAAUAAAAACCGUUAAUAGCGGCCUCUAAUAUGCUGUGUCCAAUGUUUAUCAUAUAUCAAAGCGUUUCCAGUUCAUUAUUCAAAUAAAAUAUUCUUCUCAAUCCUGAAGCUUGGGUCGAUUUUGCGGGAAGAUAUCGACGAGAGUACAGGUUUUUGUUUAAGUGGAAACAUUAACCAUUACUAGUUGCGAUGCUGAUUUGUCUUUUUCAGCCAUCUGUUGAUUACAGACUUAUUUAAAUUUUUUUUCUCCAUAAAACCAUAAGGUGAAAGUUUUAUUGAUUUCUAAUUCUUUUCUACUUUGCACUCUUCUUUUAUUAUGGAUAUUUUACUUACCCAUUUCUUCUCAUUUGUUUUCAACGCAGUAGAAGAAGUACAGUAUUUGGAAUUGUGUAAACGAGUUAAUCCAACU